GCCGGGCAUGGUGGCACGUGCCUGUAAUCCCAGCUACUCAGGAGGCUGAGGCAGGAGAAUUGCUUGAGCCCGGGAGGCAGAGGGUGCAGUGUGCCGAGAUCAUGCCAUUGCACUCCAGCCUGGGCAAUAGAGUGAGACUCUGUCUCAA
rnacentral:SRP_RNA from 1 species